CCUACGGGUGGCAGCAGUGGGGAAUAUUGCACAAUGCGGGAAACCCUGAUGCAGCGACGCCGCGUGAGUGAAGAAGUAAUUCGUUAUGUACAGCUCUAUCAGCAGGGAAGAAAAUGACGGUACCUGCGUAAGAAGCCCCGGCUAACUACGUGCCAGCCGCCGCGGUAAAACGGAGGGGGCAAGCGUUAUCCGGAUUUACUGGGUGUAAAGUGAGCGUAGACGGCAGUGCAGGUCUGGAGUGAAAGGCGGGGGCUCAACCCCCGGACUGCUCUGGAAACUGUACGGCUGGAGUGCAGGAGAGGUAAGUGGAAUUCCUAGUGUAGCGGUGAAAUGCGUAGAUAUUAGGAGGAACACCAGUGGCGAAGGCGGCUUACUGGACUGUAACUGACGUUGAGGCUCGAAAGCGUGGGGAGCAAACAGGAUUAGAUACCCUUGUAGUC
rnacentral:rRNA from 1 species